AUUGAACGCUGGCGGCAGGCCUAACACAUGCAAGUCGAGCGAGCGGCGGACGGGUGAGUAAUGUAUGGGGACUGCCCGAUAGAGGGGGAUAACUACUGGAAACGGUAGCUAAUACCGCAUACUAUCGGAUAACCCAUAUGGGAUUAGAUAGUAGGUGGGGUAAAGGCUCACCUCGGCGAAGAGACCUAGCUGGUCGUAGGGGAUGAUCAGCCACAAGGGGACUGAGAAACGGCCCAGACUCCUACGGAGGCAGAAGUGGGGAAUAUUGAACAAUGGGCGCAAGCCUGAUGCAGCCAUGCCGCGUGUAUGAAGAAGGCCCUAGGGUUGUAAAGUACUUUAAGUCGGGAGGCGUUACCGACAGAAGAAGCACCGGCUAACUCCGUGCCAGCAGCCGCGGUAAUAC
rnacentral:rRNA from 1 species